rnacentral:sRNA from 1 species
GCUGGGUGCGGUGGAGCACACCUGUAAUCCCAGUAGCUGGGAGGCUGAGCAGGAGGAUCGUGAGUUCGAAGCUAGCCUCAGCAAAAAGUGAGGCACUAAGCAACUCAGUGAAACCCUGUUUCU